rnacentral:tRNA from 1 species
GUGUGCGUAGUGUAGUGGUAGCAAAUCUGACUGUGAAUCAGAAGGCGAGGGUUCGAUUCCCCCGCACACCCCA